AUAAGGGCAGCGCAGGGAUGGUGUGGAGGAGGGGUUGGAGCAAAGCGUUAGGAGGCAAUUCCUCCCUCUAGGCGACGCUUCAGUGCGGGGCAGGGGCCGCAGCGCACCGCCAACCUUGUGUGGCUUCCCCAUCAUUGGCAUCUCAUUGAGUAGCCUUGGAGCAGUGACCCGUGCAGGCAUGCCAGGGGUUUGAGAUGGGCUAAGACUGGACAGGAGAGCCCAUUUGGUGUAGUGGUUAAGAUACCAGGCUAGAAACCAGGAGACCUUGAGGCGCACACAUACGAAAAGGGCUGGACAACCGUUGGAAGAGCUGAAGGACAGACUGACUGUUUUGUACACAACUUCUACAGCGCACAGUGGUAUCGUAGGCAACAAGUGAAGCCUGUGGCAUAUUCCUGAUUGCUAUUCCCUGUUGAAUAACAAAGAGAGAAGAACCUCUACUCAGAAUAGCCUUUGGAGGAUCACCUGGAAGGGGUGUCUUGGAAUGGAGGCCAACGUCUUUCACCCACAGCUAAUAUUUUGAAGGCCAGCCCAACAUAGAAACCUUUCUAAAAAGCUCUCAAGCACAACAUUGGAACAAAUUUAUUUUGGUAAGACUUUUGCCUGAAUCUCCUGCCCCAUGCUCUGAACAACUGAAAUAAGAAGAGUAAAGAUCUUGCAUAUGCAAGCAUAAACAACUAUAUAUACCACGAUCCUGAACGCACAGAGAUCAUAUGUUGGAGCAGGGGAGAGGGGCUGGAUCAACUUUUUGCUACCCAACAUCCUAUCUUCAUAGAUGGCUAGUGCAUCACGUUCUAUUCCUGUAACAAAUGAGACAGAACCUACAAUCACAAACUUGGGAUAAAGUCCUCUGGAUUAAACCAGUCAAUGAGGCAUUUAAGGAAUAAAGCAGAGGUCCGGAUCCUUCACAAAAUCAGGAGCUUAAUGAUUCAUUUCUUCAUCUCGGGAUACAUGACAAGGCCACUUCCAGACAGAAUGACUCCUAACUCUUAAUAAAUCAUGGGUUUUCUACUGCAAGCAGAAUCAUAAUCAACUGGCUACCUCCUUGGGGAUAUUGUGUGCUUUUGCUAUAUUUCAAUCCAUUAUGUUACAUCUGAUAACAUAAUAUCUUGCUAUAUUAUCUCUUUGCCCAGUCCAUCUGAGAAAAAAAGA